ensembl:lncRNA
CUGGAUACAUACUGGAUCCGGGUGACUGCAGUGACCCUCUGACUUGGAUACAGACUGGAUCUGGUGGCUACGGUGACCUCGGAAUAAGAGAGAAACAGACUAAUAUGAGCGUAGAUGCCAUUCUUCUAACGAUGUAGCAAGUACAUCGGGUGUUAUGGGAAGUGUUCCCGGUUCCGGUUUACCUAAUUAAUGCAGCCUAAAAAUCCUUUAACGGAUUUGGAUAUUAGAAGUGUAUUAGUAUGUUAUGUGUAAGCCAGGUUAAAGAGAUGGGUCUUUAAUCUAGAUUUAAACUGCAAGAGUGUGUCUGCCUCCCGAACAAUGUUAGGUAGGUUAUUCCAGAGUUUGGGCGCUAAAUAGGAGAAGGAUCUGCCGCCCGCAGUUGACUUUGAUAUUCUAGGUAUUAUCAAAUUGCCAGAGUUUUGAGAACGGAGCGGACGUGGAGGACUAUAAUGUAACAAGAGCUCGUCAAAUACUGAGGUGCUAAACCAUUCAGGGCUUUAUAAGUAAUAAGCAAGAUUUUAAAAUCUAUACAAUGUUUGAUAGGGAGCCAGUGCAGUGUUGACAGGACCGGGCUAAUAUGAUCAUACUUCCUGGUUCUAGUAAGAACUCUAGCUGCUGCAUUUUGGACUAACUGGAGUUUGUUUACUAAGCGUGCAGAACAACCACCCAAUAGAGCAUUACAAUAGUCUAACCUUGAGGUCAUAAACGCAUGGAUUAACAUUUCUGCAUUUGACAUUGAGAGCAUAGGCCGUAAUUAGGGCCCGAGCACCGAUGGUGCGAGGACCCUCUUGGAAUUGCUGUGUUUAUUAGGGCCCGAGCACCGAUGGUGUGAGGACCCUCUUGUAUCUGCUUUGUUUAUUAUUAUUAGGGCCCGAGCACCGAUGGUGUGAGGACCCUAUUGUAUCUGCUUUGUUUAUUAUUAGGGCCCGAGCACCGAUGGUGUGAGGACCCUAUUGGAAUUGCUUCGUUUAUUAGGGCCCGAGCACCGAUGGUGUGAGGACCCUAUUGUAUCUGCUUUGUUUAUUAUUAUUAUUAUUCUUCUUCUUCUUCUUCUUCUUCUCCAAAAUGAAUCGCAUUUUUGAGGGCCUAAACAUGCUCGAAAAGUCCUGAAACUUUGCACACGCGUCAGACCUGGUGAAAAUUUACGGCUGAUAUAGGUUUCAGAAGAGGGUGUGGCAAAAUGGCUCGACAGCGCCACCUACCGUAAAAAAAUCAACAGCCC